AACCUCCGCAAUGUGAGAAAUCGCGACGGGGGGAUCCCAAGUGCCAUUCUUAACGGGAUGGCUUUUCAUUAGUGUAAAGAGCUUUUGGAAUAAGGGCUGGGCAAGACCGGUGCCAGCCGCCGCGGUAACACCGGCAGCUCUAGUGGUAGCAGUUUUUAUUGGGCCUAAAGCGUCCGUAGCCGGUUUAAUAAGUCUCUGGUGAAAUCCUGUAGCUUAACUGUGGGAAUUGCUGGAGAUACUAUUAGACUUGAGACCGGGAGAGGUUAGAGGUACUCCCAGGGUAGAGGUGAAAUUCUGUAAUCCUGGGAGGACCGCCUGUUGCGAAGGCGUCUGACUGGAACGGUUCUGACGGUGAGGGACGAAAGUUAGGGGCGCGAACCGGAUUAGAUACCCGGGUAGUCCUAACUGUAAACGAUGCGGACUUGGUGUUGGGGUGGCUUUGAGCUGCUCCAGUGCCGAAGGGAAGCUGUUAAGUCCGCCGCCUGGGAAGUACGGUCGCAAGACUGAAACUUAAAGGAAUU
rnacentral:rRNA from 1 species